rnacentral:tRNA from 1 species
GAGGGUAUAGCUCAGUGGUAGAGCAUAUGCUUAGUAUGCACGAGGUCCUGGGUUCAAUCCCCAGUCCCUCCA